rnacentral:rRNA from 1 species
CGAAUUGCGUUCGGGGUUGUUGCUGGCUCUCCUCUCGGGGGGAGUAUGUGCACGCCUCGCAUCCAUUUCAACCUCACUCGUGCACUUCAGAGGACCGCUCGGUUCUCUUUUUCCACACAAACCUCUGUAUAGUCAUUGUAGAACGUCUUGUAUUAAACUAAAUACAACUUUCAACAACGGAUCUCUUGGCUCUCGCAUCGAUGAAGAACGCAGCGAAAUGCGAUAAGUAAUGUGAAUUGCAGAAUUCAGUGAAUCAUCGAAUCUUUGAACGCACCUUGCGCUCCUUGGUAUUCCGAGGAGCAUGCCUGUUUGAGUGUCGUGUAAUUCUCAAUCCCGUUUGGUUUUGAAUCGAACGUGGAUUGGACUUGGGAGCUUGCUGUGCCUGUCUCUUGGUUCGGCUCUCCUUGAAUGCAUUAGCUCGGUCACGUAGUUGCCCGACGGUUCACGGUGUGAUAGUCAUUUCAUCGCCGUUCUGACCGUUUCGGUGCCUGUGUCUGCCGGCUUCUAAUCCGUGUGUUGUCCUUUGUUGGAUAUAUGCACUCUUUGACAAUUGACCUCAAAUCAGGUAGGAUUACCCGCUGAACUUAAGCAUAUCAAUAAGCGGAGGAAAAGAAACUAACAAGGAUUCCCCUAGUAACUGCGAGUGAAGCGGGAAAAGCUCAAAUUUAAAAUCUGGCGGGUUCCCCGUCCGAGUUGUAAUCUGGAGAAGCGUUUUCCGUAUCGGACCGUGUACAAGUCCUUUGGAAUGGGGCGUCAUAGAGGGUGAGAAUCCCGUCCAUGACACGGACUACCGAUGCUCUGUGAUACGCUCUCGAAGAGUCGAGUUGUUUGGGAAUGCAGCUCAAAAUGGGUGGUAAAUUCCAUCUAAAGCUAAAUAUUGGCGAGAGACCGAUAGCGAACAAGUACCGUGAGGGAAAGAUGAAAAGCACUUUGGAAAGAGAGUUAAACAGUACGUGAAAUUGUUGAAAGGGAAACGCUUGAAGUCAGUCGCGUCCGUCGAGACUCAGCCUUGCCUUUGGCCUGGUGUACUUCUCGGUGGACGGGUCAACAUCGAUUUUGAAUGGCAGAUAAAGGUCUGGGGAAUGUGGCACCUCCGGGUGUGUUAUAGCCUCUCUCCGUAUAUGCUGUUUGGGAUCGAGGACCGCAGCACGCCCUGUGGCCGGGGU